CAAUAGCGUAUAUUAAAGUUGUUGCGGUUAAAAAGCUCGUAGUUGGAUUUCUGCUGAGAACGACCGGUCCGCCCUCUGGGUGUGUAUCUGGCUCUUUCUUGGCAUCUUCUUGGUGAACGUUGCUGCACUUGACUGUGUGGAGCGCUACCCAGGACUUUUACUUUGAGGAAAUUAGAGUGUUUCAAGCAGGCAUACGCCUUGAAUACAUUAGCAUGGAAUAAUAAGAUAGGACCUCGGUUCUAUUUUGUUGGUUUCUAGAGCUGAGGUAAUGAUUAAUAGGGAUAGUUGGGGGCAUUCGUAUUUAACUGUCAGAGGUGAAAUUCUUGGAUUUGUUAAAGACGGACUACUGCGAAAACAUUUGCCAAGGAUGUUUUCAUUGG
rnacentral:rRNA from 1 species